rnacentral:rRNA from 1 species
AACGAACGCUGGCGGCGUGCCUAACACAUGCAAGUCGGACGAGAAAGUUUCCUUCGGGAAGCGAGUAAAGUGGCGCACGGGUGAGUAACACGUAGACAACCUGCCUUCCAGUCCGGGACAACCUUUCGAAAGAAGGGCUAAUACCGGAUAACACUUUGGGCCGCAUGGCCCGGGUUGAAAGAUUCAUCGCUGGAAGAGGGGUCGUGCGGGACAUUAGCUCGUUGGCGGGGUAACGGCCCACCAAGGCGACGANGUCUAGCGGGUCGUGAGAGGA